rnacentral:rRNA from 1 species
GAUGAAUGCUGGCGGCGUGCUUAACACAUGCAAGUCGAGCGGUAACGGGUCCUUCGGGAUGCCGACGAGCGGCGGACGGCUGAGUAACGCGUGGGAACAUGCCCCAAAGUGAGGAAUAAGCACCGGAAACGGUGUCUAAUGCCGCAUAUGGUCUUCGGAUUAAAGGAUUUAUCCGCUUUGGGAGUGGCCCGCGUUCGAUUAGGUAGUUGGUGAGGUAAAGGCUUACCAAGCCUACGAUCGAUAACUGGUCUGAGAGGAUGAUCAGUCAGACUGGAACUGAGAUACGGUCCAGACUCCUACGGGUGGCUG